GACGAACGCUGGCGGCGUGCUUAACACAUGCAAGUCGAACGGAAAGGCCCUGCUUUUGUGGGGUGCUCGAGUGGCGAACGGGUGAGUAACACGUGAGUAACCUGCCCUUGACUUUGGGAUAACUUCAGGAAACUGGGGCUAAUACCGGAUAUGAGCUCCUGCUGCAUGGUGGGGGUUGGAAAGUUUCGGCGGUUGGGGAUGGACUCGCGGCUUAUCCGCUUGUUGGUGGGGUAGUUGCUUACCAAGGCUUUGACGGGUAGCCGGCCUGAGAGGGUGGCCGGCGACAUUGGGACUGAGAUACGGCGCAGACUGCUACGGGAGGCAGCAGUGGAGAGUAUUACACAAUGGGCGGAAGCCUGAUGUGGCAGCGCCGCGUGCGGGAUGACGGCCUUCGGGUUGUGAACCGCUUUCGCCUGUGACGAAGCGUGAGUGACGGUAAUGGGUAAAGAAGCAACGGCUAACUACGUG
rnacentral:rRNA from 1 species